GUCUCUCUGAUGAACGAUUCGAUCCUGAUCUUCGACGGGAGGAUCUGGCUUACCGCAGAAGCAAUCGCCAGAUCUGAUAUCUGCAUUUGGUUUAUCUAUACGAUUCUGAUGUCGGAGACCGGUAUCACAGAAAGCAACCACCGGGAUCUUCAAUCGUCGCUGAGAUGCCUUUGCUCCGAUGAUGUCUCCGUCUUCAAAUGUUCCAUUGGUUUCGUUGAUACGAAAAGUUUUCUGGUUAGUUGAACCUUCCGUAUCUGUAAUUUAUCGAACAAUAUAUCUAGGUUUGGUUCGUUUUGUGACGGAUUUAAUGGAAUUCUUUCAUUUGAUGAAAUCAAUGUCGAGAUGCCAGUAGUGUGUUCUACUGCUGAAAUGUUGGUAUUCCUGGUGCGCUUCUACAGUUUUGUGUACUCGUUUCACUGUGUCUGUACUAAUUCGCUUUUCUUUUGCGAGACUGCGACGAAUCGCUUUAGUCAACAUUUACGGAGUUGAUUUUUGACUUCGAAAAUGGCUUAAAUUACUGAACUCGAGUCUGAAAACUUGAGAGAAACUUAAACUGAUUCUGAUUUUGGGGUCGCAGACUGUGGGUUGGACUCUUGACCCAAACUUGUAUAUCCGGAAUAGAUAAGAAAACCUAUUGGAUGCAUGGAGUCAGUUUCCAAUAUUCGCUGUCAGACAAUGCUAUCAAGGGAAAUGAGGCAAAAAUUUGCCAUGGGGGAAAGAAGUUGAAAAUGGGGAAAAGGAAAAUGGGAAACUUAGCACUUGAUGGAGUUGAUUCCUUGAAGUGCCAAGAUCCAUGGUAUACUUUGAAGAUGAAGAAUCUAAUAAUCAUAUGUUGCAUGUCUCAACACGACGUUCGUGCUGAGUGUUAGUCAGAGGUUGAGGACCUUGAGGUAGCUGAAAGUUUGACGUCGGUUUAAACAAGAACUCUUGACCAUCUUGCCAAUUUCAGCAACCCAGUUGACUAAGCGAGUGGUAAGCAGUCCAGUAAUCAUCACUAAUCUGUUGUACAGAAACUCAUGUCUGGAUUGAAGUUUUUACAGAGCAAAAGAGUUGCUUCCUGAGAGAUUUGAAGACUGAUGGUGGUGAAGCAGGUCAAAGAACAUGUAAUCACACUGCUUUGAGAAGUCAAUUUGAGGGAAAGUACGACCUUAUCCUCUUAAUUCUGAUUAAUCUUCAGGUCCUAUGAAACAAACAUUCCUGUAAGAAUGAGUUUGUGUGAUAUGUAUGAUAUGUAACAAAUGUUACUAGAAAUGAAACCUGAAAAAAUGGUUCCAGAU